rnacentral:rRNA from 1 species
UACGGAGGGGGCUAGCGUUGUUCGGAAUUACUGGCGUAAAGCGCACGUAGGCGGAUAUUUAAGUCAGGGGUGAAAUCCCGGGGCUCAACCCCGGAACUGCCUUUGAUACUGGGUAUCUGGAGGUCGAGAGAGGCGAGUGGAAUUCCGAGUGUAGAGGUGAAAUUCGUAGAUAUUCGGAGGAACACCAGUGGCGAAGGCGGCUCGCUGGCUCGAUACUGACGCUGAGGUGCGAAAGCGUGGGGAGCAAACAGG